GAUGAACGCUGACAGAAUGCUUAACACAUGCAAGUCAACUGUGGCGGACGGGUUAGUAACGCGUAAAGAACUUGCCUCACAGCUAGUGACAAUAUUUGGAAACGAAUGCUAAUACCUGAUACAGUGAGAGAGCUUUGCGUCCCAUUAGCUAGUCGGAGAGGUAACGGCUCACCAAGGCGAUGCUGAGUAGCCGGCCUGGGAGGUCGAUCGGCCACAAGGGGACAGAGACGCGGCCCUUAAUCGUACGGGAAGCAGCAGUGGAGAAUAUGGGACGAUGGACCAGAGUAUGAAACAGCAAUUCUGUGUGCAAAAUGAAGUUUUCGGAAUGAAAAGUGAUUUCAGUUGGGAAGCGGUACCAACAGAAGAAGUGACGGCUAAAUCCGUGCCAGCGGCAGCGGUAAUUC
rnacentral:rRNA from 1 species